AAAGAAAAAAAAAUGAAAAAUAUCGUAAAUAUCGAAUUACUGAAAAAGAAGGGGGAAGAAGAGAAAUUCUAAAAUUGAAGCGCCGUGUCGAAUCCAUCUCUGCGACUUCUCCAUCGGCGGAACUUUCUCGACGAUGCCUUGCCUACCGCAGCCUCUGCACAAGCAUCGAAAUCUCCAGCACGGAAGAAGAAACCGGGAGCUGUCGGUCCAACUAUGAGAACAGCCAUACCUCGUAGUGAAUUCACCAGCCGUCACUACGCAUUAUCGCAUCGCAUGAACGGCUGACAGAUCACAGUGGAUACUCGACGAAAUGACUUGCAGCCUACACACAUUUACGAAACGUGGCUGAAGGGCACUCGACCGUUUUCGAGACAGAGAGAGAAAGAGAAAGAGAGAAAGAAGGAGGAAGAGAAGAACCACUUCGACGUUCUAACGCGAUAACUCUCUCUCUCUCUCUCUUUCUCGAAGGAAAGAAAUCGUUUAGGGAGAGGUGUGUCGUUUCAUCGAAACGAAGAAUACUGGAAGAAUUAUUCGUGAUGUAUAAUUAUCGUCGUGUGCGUAAUCAUCUUGAAAUAACGGGUUGGAGUUUGGAUUUUUUUUUGUCAGUCUGUGUUUCAGAGAUACAGAGUGUACGGGUUUCUUGUAUUGGACUAAUGAUAGACGGCUAACCGUUGCACUCCUGGGGACAAACUUCUGUUUGUCGCAGAGGAGGAUCGAAUUCUUUGCCUCAACGUUUGGAUCUAUGAUUGGGAUACGUAAAAGGUGUUUACAUACGUGCAGCUGGAUGAAAUUUCUUUUAAAGGAGCAGAGGACUACGGUAGCCGAGAGGGAGAAUUGUGCUAAGUCAAAAAAUCAACAUUAAGGCGCGGGGUCCGUGCAUGGACGGAAUUUUUUGUUCGGAAUAAGUAUUA